rnacentral:rRNA from 1 species
AAUCAACGCUGGCGGCGUGCCUAACACAUGCAAGUCGCACGAGAAAGUGGAGCAAUCCAUGAGUACAGUGGCGCACGGGUGAGUAACACGUGAAUCAUCUACCUUCGAGUGGGGAAUAACUGAGAGAAAUCUUAGCUAAUACCGCAUAACACUUACGAGUCAAAGCAGCAAUGCGCUUGAAGAGGAGUUCGCGGCAGAUUAGUUAGNGGCGGGGUAAUGGCCCACCAAGACGAUGAUCUGUAUCCGGCCUGAGAGGGCGCACGGACACACUGGAACUGAAACACGGUCCAGACUCCUACGGGAGGCAGCAGUGGGGAAUUUUGCGCAGUGGGGGAAACCCGUGACGCAGCAACGCCGCGUGGAGGAUGAAGCCCC